AUUGACAAUGGAAUGAUAUAAACAUUGAGUGAACAUACACUUCUCGCAAUUUUUCUAUUAUUUCAGACAUUCUUGAAGUAUUACAUAUAUAAAUUUUACUGUUUUUAGGUAUUCUUUCAAUCAAUUCUUGAGGUAAAAUGUUUGAAUCAAGUGUAAGUUUUCUAGUGUGAACAUAUAAGUAACUAUAAGAUUGUAAUUCAAUUUGUUAAACA
rnacentral:lncRNA from 1 species